rnacentral:rRNA from 1 species
CCUGGUGGCCAUAGUGGAGAGGUCAUACCCGUUCCCAUCCCGAACACGGAAGUCAAGCUCUCUUACGUCGAUGAUACUGCUAACGCGGGAAAGUAGAAAGCUGCCAGGC